CAAGGUUUUCCCCAAAUUUUUUCAUUCCCUCUCUUAAAUUUUGCCUGUCUUCCACAAAUUCCUUGCCUCCAAAAAUUUUAUCCCUAAAAUUAUUCAUUCCCUCCCUUUGUUGCAUAUGUUUAGUUGGCCCAAACCUAAUUGAAACUCUUCAAUUGAAGCGAAUUUGGGCUUCAUCUGCAAUUCGAAUUCUAAGAUUUUUGGCUUCUGCUAUAGAUCGAUUGCUGUGAAAUGUUGCUUUAUCUACAAAUCAAUUUCUUUGAUAUUGUCUUCCAGGUAUGCCCAUUCCGAGAUUAUAUAUUUAUAGAGUUUUACUACUACCUGUAAUUUCUUCGUACAAAUUGCUGCUGAAUCCGUUAGUAAAUGUGUUGUUUUAGAAAUUUAAAGUAGAUGUUGGAGUCUCUAGGGUUUUAGAUGUGGUGGAAAAGUGUCAAGAUUACUCCAUCUCCAUGCUCCUUGCCAGACUUUUAUUAUGUCAAAAUAUAGUAGUAGUGGCGGCAGAGCAAUGCCCCUAUGAAUGUUUAUUGAGAAAUUUAAGCUAGAUGUUGGAUGCAUUCUUUUGUGAUCUUUCUCCAUGUUUCUUGCUAGACUUUUAGUAAUCCAAGCAUGGCGACCGAGAUGGACAUGUAGGCCAUGAGGAUAUUUAUUCUCCGCUCAUCACCUAAAAAUCUUAGGGCAAGAUAUAGGAAAGGUCGUCCCACUUGCCUCUUUUCUGGAGUUAUUGACUUCAUUGUUAUGUAUCAUAGCCGAAUUAGAAGAGGGCUUGCAAAGAUUUAGUUCUAUUAGGAUGUAUCCUUAUUUUGUCUUUCUAUUAUGGAUCAAUCAAGAUAAUAGUCAAGUUGCUCUAGAUUUUUUCAAAGCGCUAUUCUCGACACUUCGGAAGCUUUUAUGUUAUCUAUGUGCUCAUCUCUAGACGAGAUUUCUUCACCAGAAGAUCUCUUUUGUGUUAAUUUGACCUUAUGCAAGUUUAUAGAUCUCGAUUCAUCAUUUCUUACAACUAGCAACAAUAUCUAUCAUAGAAUCGAAACACUAGUAGAAUGAGAAAAUGCAAUAAAAAAUUUGCACCUUCAAUCUAGAUUUGCAAGAAGUCAUACUUGUAGUUUCACACAUCCCAUUACAUUAUGCUUUUUGGUAAAAUAAGUAAUUUAAGAUUCGAACAAGCACUUGAAUGAUAUAAAACCCACCCAAGACUUGUCCUCUAUAUUCCAAAAUUAGUCAUGGCAGAACUUGAAGCUUCCCAUAUUUUCUGGAGUUCUUGAAAUUUCAUUUACUUGUUGAAUGUCGAGAAUUCCAGGCCGGGGCUAUUUUUGUGUACUUCUUUAGUGUUUCAGGCAAGCCGCUGUGAUACAGGAAAGGGCUAUGAUAUAAAUUUACUGUGAUUUUGUAGUUCAUUCCAUUUAUAUAUAUCAUCGUCUUACUAUGAAGUCAUAACAAUCAGCAUUAUUACACUUCUCAAAAAUUACUCCUUAUCUGUUGGGUCAAAAAGGAAGAUGAAAAUCUCAUAAUUGUUCUUGAUGAGUAUGGAGAUAAUUGUUCUUGAAAAUCUCAUAAUUCUUCUCAAAAAUUACUCCUUAUCAGUUAAGCUAAUCCUUCGUUGUUUGCAAUUCUAGCAUUUUACACUAGGGAAUUUCCAGACUAAUUUGAAUACACGUGGAACAUUCAUGUCUGGAAUUCUGAUGCCAUGUUUCUUCCAUUUUUUGUUGAUGUAUUUCUUGAACCGUUUACCGUCUGUUGGCUAUAUAUGACAUCCCCUCUUGAAAUUUUUCAUGCACCUCCAUGUUGUGUGUGUUGUAAGAGAUGCAACAAAAGGUUGUCAUUUUUUGAUAGAAUUUCUAUACCAAUGUUAUUACAAGUAAGCAUGUGGUUAACAUCAGUUUCUCAUCAAAGUUAAUAUAAAUCCCGAGAUGAAAAAUUCCAAAACCAUGUUUGCUGUCAUUUUUAGUAAGAGCGAAAAUUGUGUGAAUCUUAAUUUUUUUGUAGAAAGGUGGUUUUGUCCCUAAGUAGAUAAGUUUAGGCGAUUUAUAACUAUUACACUUUAACCCUUUUUUUUUAAGGCUACCACUUUUAAUCAUUCACUGGCUUCUGAGAAAGAUUUAUUUAUUUAUUAUUAUUAUUUUUUUAAUUAUGUUUCUUGCAUAUUGUUUCUUACAUUUUGUUUCUAAAUAUGUCGUGUUAAUGGUAAAAAUUAUUGUUCUUCAUAUAUUGAAUCGUUAAUAAUGAAAAAUUAUAUUCUCAUAUUUGUUGUUGACCUAAUCUUUUACUAAAUUUAUAGUCGGUUGAAUAAAAUGUUUUGAUUAUUACAUUAAAACAUUUUGUAGGGGCCAUACAAAGAGUUUUGGAUAAAAGAGCUUCCUUCAAUUCAAAUUGCAACAAGGUAAGUUCGUAAAUCCAAGUACCCCAUCAUCAAGUUGUUUUACAGUGUGUGUUUAUAUUCUCAUAAUCAAGUGAUUUAUUUGGGUUGGUGCUUCGAUAUCUCUAUGUGUUUAUGCAUAUGAGGAUAUAAAUAGCAUUUCAUGGUAAAUGGUGUCAUUUAUUGGAAUUAAUGUAACUACAUCAUAAAUGGAGGAGACUGGAACUUGUAUGUGCAAAAGAGAGUGUACUGCAUGCAUCUUUUAGCCUAGUUAAUUGAAAAAAUCUAUUAAUUUUAUAAUUGAACUUUUACGUUGCAUUUUUUUCUUAUUAGGAUGGUUCGAAGUGUCUAGAAGUCGACACAUUUGAGUUCGCUUAUGCUAGGAAGAACAAGUAUUGGACUUGUAAUGCAGCUAAAGCUCAACAUGUAAGAAAUACUCAACAUUAUAAAAUUGUUUUUUUUUAUCGUGUUUUAUCUACCAUUUUAGACACAAAAUAUAUAUUGCAAAGUUAAAUUAAAAAAGGCUAGAAAAUUCCAAUUAGAUUAAGUAGGAUGACAAUUUUUGUAUGUUAUUCAUGGGGCUAUUUCGGAAACUGACACUAUCAUGGUCAAAAUGUUUUUGAGAGAUGAUUAUAUUUCUUAGCUUGUGCUAUGUCUCUUGUGUACAGUUGUGUUAUCUCUUGCAAACUUUGAUUUUAUGGACUGUUUUAUAUAUCUUGUUGGUUAUAUUUGUAGGAUGAAAUGCUUGUCAAAAAGCAUGAAUAUCUUAUAGAGAGGCAAAGGAUUAGCAACUUCCUAAAGAUAUCCCUUUGGAGGAGAUACCGAUAGAUGAUCCUGAUGCCGAAAUUGAUAUCAUGAUGUUCGUUCUAGGUAUGAAGCCCAGGCGCUAAAUUCUUGGGUUAGAAGAUGGUCGCCUUUGAGAUAUUAGGAUAUCUUCUUCCAAUGUACACAAUUUGGGGAAGAGUUGGAAGCAGAACAUGUUGCUCGAAAGGUAGUUGAUGUAGCUCAAGUAAACAUGGAGCAAAAUAUGCAAAAUAAGCUAAAGGUUGUUGAGCAACAAUUCAAUUCUAUAUUAUAAUCUUGGAAUCAUUCUAUGCACUGACUAUGUGAUAAAGUUCCUGACUUCAUUGUACCACCAUUUAUACCAUUGUCAAUAGAGAAUAAUGGUAAUGAGAAAGAUGAUACUAUUGAGGAUGAAGAGAAUAACUUUGAUGAGAAUCAGUGCAUGUCUAAUUCACGAGAUUGAAGAGUCAUGUUUUUUAUUUGCAUAACAAUGGAUAUAUAGCAUGUUUGCUCUGCUUAUUUUAACUUUAAAUGUAAUCAUACUUGGUGAAACUCGUUUAUUCGUGUUUUGAUGAAAUAUUUUGGAUUCAAUGCUGAUUGGCA
rnacentral:lncRNA from 1 species